rnacentral:sRNA from 1 species
AAAUUAAUAUAUAUUGUUACGUGCCACCUGCUUCGGCACUAUGGUGUUGUGGCCGCUAGCUCAGGAGCCAUGUUCAGGGGUUGGUUCCAUCCCAUACACCAAUAGCCUUGGGGACGAACAAUUAAACAAUUAAUGGAUAAAUACAAACUCUACAUAACACAAACACUACGUACACCUGGAACAAAGGAGUUUGAUAUUGCCACUCCCCACACUAGCCCGCCCAACCUUGACCCUGAGAUCCUACAUAACUGUCAAUUUUAUCAGGGCCCCGUAUUCCACACCCACUCCCCUCAGUACAAUGUACACCAAAUUCACUCUCUCAUGAAUGAACUAGACAAUCAUGAUUACACAAACAAUCAUAUUACGAACAAUUUAUUAGUAUAUAAGAUUUCCUUAAAAUAGAACAAACAAGCUGAAAUUUGAAACAUUAACUAUCAGGAUCUCUUAGUCAUUGUUUGAGGAGUUCAUAUAUAUCAGACCACCCUUCAUUACUUCAGUCAACUAAAUGUCACCAAAUUUUGGACUUUCUAAGUUAUGCAAUUAGUACCUGCCUAAACGAGCUCUCUUAGGUGGUGAGGGAUCCGCAAACUGGUCCACAAUAUUCAACGGAACCUCAAAAAAAAUCUUGAUUAUAACACUCAAAGUAAUUUGGGGUAACCCUACACUCCAAUUUACUUAUAAAAUUUAGAAUAGUUAAUGUCCCUCACAAAAACAAGAACAUUUAUGCUGGACACAAAAAAAAAACACAAAUAAUAAACUUAGACAACACAACUUAACCUAAAUAUAUUAUCUUAAUUAAAAAUUUGAAUAUUAUAUUAGUUCUUUCUCUUAAUUUAUAUGAAUUUUUCUGCCUUUUGUUUUUUCUUAAAAUUUUAUUUAAUGGAAUUUCUCCCUUUUUCUGUUGCAGGGUCUCCCUCCUGGUUCUGGUUUUUAUUUUAUGCCAGUGGUUGUAUCAAACAAGCGGAUCACUCUUCCGCGACCUCGUCCACCAGGAUAAAGCAGAACCCGGAUAUCAUGGAUCAAGGGAAUUGGUGUUAUGGAGGCGGUUGCUGGGGCCUCAAUUUUGCGUUGUGGUGGUUGCUGUGGCCGUCAAAGAUGGGCUGACCUCUCCGCUUUUGUUCGCCGAGGAGGCCAGUUGAUACCCUCGAGAAAUUUAAAUUAUUUUGGCGAAACACUGAAAGACAUAAAAGCACACAACACAAAAACACUCAUAUAUCUACACAAUUAUAAUUCAUACAAGGAUCACUUACAAUCAAUUACUAACGCCUUCACCAUAAAUAAUAAAAUAAAUAUCGAGGCUUUUAUUGCCUU